rnacentral:rRNA from 1 species
GACGAACGCUGGCGGCGUGCCUAAUACAUGCAAGUAGAACGCUGACUACUUUAGCUUGCUAGAGUAGAAGGAGUUGCGAACGGGUGAGUAACGCGUAGGUAACCUGCCUACUAGCGGGGGAUAACUAUUGGAAACGAUAGCUAAUACCGCAUAACAGUGUUUAACACAUGUUAGAUGCUUGAAAGAUGCAAUUGCAUCACUAGUAGAUGGACCUGCGUUGUAUUAGCUAGUUGGUGAGGUAACGGCUCACCAAGGCGACGAUACAUAGCCGACCUGAGAGGGUGAUCGGCCACACUGGGACUGAGACACGGCCCAGACUCCUACGGGAGGCAGCAGUAGGGAAUCUUCGGCAAUGGGGGCAACCCUGACCGAGCAACGCCGCGUGAGUGAAGAAGGUUUUCGGAUCGUAAAGCUCUGUUGUAAGAGAAGAACGUGUGUGAGAGUGGAAAGUUCACACAGUGACGGUAACUUACCAGAAAGGGACGGCUAACUACGUGCCAGCCGCCGCCGUAA